CAGCACCUCAAGUGGUCAGGAUGAUUAUUGAGCCUAAAGCAUCCGUAGCCGGCUCUGUAAGUUUUCGGUUAAAUCUGUACGCUCAACGUACAGGCUGCCGGGAAUACUGCAGAGCUAGGGAGUGGGAGAGGUAGACGGUACUCGGUAGGAAGGGGUAAAAUCCUUUGAUCUAUUGAUGACCACCUGUGGCGAAGGCGGUCUACCAGAACACGUCCGACGGUGAGGGAUGAAAGCUGGGGGAGCAAACCGGAUUAGAUACCCGAGUAGUCC
rnacentral:rRNA from 1 species